rnacentral:rRNA from 1 species
GAUGAACGCUGGCGGCGUGCCUAAUACAUGCAAGUCGAGCGAACGGACGAGAAGCUUGCUUCUCUGAUGUUAGCGGCGGACGGGUGAGUAAAACGUGGAUAACCUACCUAUAAGACUGGGAUAACUUCGGGAAACCGGAGCUAAUACCGGAUGAUAUUUUGAACCGCAUGGUUCAAAAGUGAAAGACGGUCUUGCUGUCACUUAUAGAUGGAUCCGCGCUGCAUUAGCUAGUUGGUAAGGUAACGGCUUACCAAGGCAACGAUGCAUAGCCGACCUGAGAGGGUGAUCGGCCACACUGGAACUGAGACACGGUCCAGACUCCUACGGGAGGCAGCAGUAGGGAAUCUUCCGCAAUGGGCGAAAGCCUGACGGAGCAACGCCGCGUGAGUGAUGAAGGUCUUCGGAUCGUAAAACUCUGUUAUUAGGGAAGGACAUAUGUGUAAGUAACUGUGCACAUCUUGACGGUACCUAAUCAGAAAGCCACGGCUAACUACGUG